rnacentral:rRNA from 2 species
GGAUGCGAUCAUACCAGCACUAAAGCACCGGAUCCCAUCAGAACUCCGAAGUUAAGCAUGCUUGGGCGAGAGUAGUACUAGGAUGGGUGACCUCCUCGGAAGUCCUCGUGUUGCAUUCC